rnacentral:tRNA from 1 species
GUCAGGGUGGCAAAGCCCGGUUAAUGCAAAAGACCUAAACCCUUUAAACAGAGGUUCAAGUCCUCUCCCUGACU